GGACCCGCACAAGUAGUGGAGCAUGUGGUUUAAUUCGAAGAUACGCGCAGAACCUUACCAACACUUGACAUGUUCGUCGCGACUCUGAGAGAUUAGAGUUUUCGGUUCGGCCGGACGAAACACAGGUGCUGCAUGGCUGUCGUCAGCUCGUGUCGUGAGAUGUUGGGUUAAGUCCCGCAACGAGCGCAACCCUCACUUUUAGUUGCCAUCAUUAAGUUGGGCACUCUGAAAGACUGCCAGUGAUAAGCUGGAGGAAGGUGGGGAUGACGUCAAGUCCUCAUGGCCCUUACGUGUUGGGCUACACACGUGCUACAAUGGUAGUGACAAUGGGUUAAUCCCAAAAAGCUAUCUCAGUUCGGAUUGUCGUCUGCAACUCGACGGCAUGAAGUUGGAAUCGCUAGUAAUCG
rnacentral:rRNA from 1 species